rnacentral:snRNA from 1 species
ACAACUAAGCCAUUCGGGAACCAAGGUACCACUGUACGUUAAAAGGAUUUUUGGUGCUGGGAGAUGGAAUAGGGGCUUGCCCCAUCCACUCCAUACAUCAGCCAGGUAUUGCAGUACCUCCAAGAACGGUGCUCUUCCC